CCCCCAGCAGCUCUACCGUCCCUAUGGCAACGAAGGUGUUUGCUACUAGCCUGUUGCUGGCUUCACACCCGAAGAACAGGAGCCUGUGACUGGAAGAAACGGAUGUAAAGCGGUUUCUACAGGAGACAAACCCAGUGAAAGACAUAGAGGACCUAAAUCAGGAUGGAGGUGUCCCUCUCUGACCCGCAGAUACUCCCAGCACCCUCCAGAAGGGGAACUCCACUGCCUCUGAGCCAGCUGCUGGAGGACAGUAGAAGAUGCAACGUUCCAAAUCAUCUACUAGAAUCAAAAGUUUACACAAGACUGAAGAGCAACAGGCUGAUACAAGCAGAGCCCCUGGAGCUUCACUUCAGUGGCUUUGAGCUGGAGAAGGGUUACAUAAAGAUGCUU